rnacentral:rRNA from 1 species
CACGUAGGGGGCAAGCGUUUGUCCGGAUUUAUUGGGCGUAAAGAGCUCGUAGGCGGCUCGGUAAGUCGGGUGUCAAAUCCUCAGGCUCAACCUGGGGCACCACCCGAUACUGCUGUGGCUAGAGUCCGGUAGGGGAGCGUGGAAUUCCUGGUGUAGCGGUGAAAUGCGCAGAUAUCAGGAGGAACACCAGCGGCGAAGGCGGCGCUCUGGGCCGGAACUGACGCUGAGGAGCGAAAGCGUGGGUAGCAAACAGG